UACGUAGGGUGCGAGCGUUGUCCGGAAUUAUUGGGCGUAAAGAGCUUGUAGGCGGUCUGUCGCGUCUGCUGUGAAAAUCCGGGGCUCAACCCCGGACUUGCAGUGGGUACGGGCAGACUAGAGUGUGGUAGGGGAGACUGGAAUUCCUGGUGUAGCGGUGAAAUGCGCAGAUAUCAGGAGGAACACCGGUGGCGAAGGCGGGUCUCUGGGCCGAUACUGACACUGAGGGACGAAAGCUAGGGGAGCGAAUGGG
rnacentral:rRNA from 1 species